CGAACGGAAAACACCGUACGAAGCGGGAGCGAGCCCCCUCGCAGGAACCAGAGAUCGAUGCCCUAUGCCGCCGCCGCCGCCGAUGCCUCCUCCUCCACCUCCAUUCCCAAGCGACGGCGUCCGCGGCCGCAGUCUUCUCCCCCAGCCACCAUGGCUGCAGAUCCACCCACGGCCGGUCGUCUAAGCUGCAAGCAUGGAUGGAUGGAUCCAGGAAGGUAUCCUUCCUCCCUGGGUGGAGCGAGCUGCAGAUCCCGUCCGGCCCUCUGGAGCCGGCCAUCUCCGCCUCCUCCUCGCCGCCGCCGGGGAUCACGUCUUCACCAAGCGCGAGCUCCGCCCCAUCCGACCGACCGCAAAGGGGUGAGUUUUCUUCAUCCCGAACCCUCCUGAUUUGCUUACUGCACUGUUGCCAUUCCAAUGGAGACCAACCUCUUCUGGCAACGCACGGGCAUGCUACUCCUCUCCCUCCCAAUAUCGCCAUGGAUUUCGCGCUGCUGGAGCCCUUCCUCUCCCUCCCCGAUCUGCCGUGGAUCUUGUGCUGCUAGACCUGCUCCUCUCCCUCCCAAUGGAUCUCGCGCUGCUGGAGCCUUCCUCUCCCUCCCCGAUCUGCCAUGGAUCUCGCGGUGCUGGAGCCCUUCCUCUCCCUCCCCGAUCUGCCCUCGAUGUGGUCUCCUUCUGUAGCGCCUCCCCAUUAGUUAGGCAUUCCAUUCACCAGGUACGUACAUGCAUCUCGCGUUGGAGGAGAUUGAUCGGGACAAAGCAGGCUACACGGAACCACUCCAAGCUCCUAUACUAUCGCCUCGUGUGUUGCCUGCUCCACCUCCUUACGGAUACGCUGCUUCUUUUUCAUGUCCCAUCCGCUGGUGUCCACACUGCCCCUUGACUCUAUCUGAAGCGAGGCAGACCUUGCCUACAAGCCUCAGUCCAGUGCACGAGUGUUCGUCCUGAUUCUUCUAACUGAUGAAGCUUUUGUCGAUCGUACUAUUUUCGGGUGCUAUCAGUCCAAGUGUUCAUCCAUUCUGAUCUAUUUCUUUGGAUAAUUUAUGGAGGUUGUGGUUCUGGUAUUUGUACGUGUUCGCAAAUUGUUCACGAGGCCUGGUUAGUAUCUUAUAGACUGCAAAAGCACAUCUCUUAGUUCUUUAAUAUGCAAUUACUUAGAUUUAUAGUCGUAAAUGUAUAUCAUUAAUGCCAGGUUCUGUUACUUAUGGUUGUUGUCAAAGGAGGAAAUAAUAGGGAGGAUUGGAGAUGCACGGGGCAUGCCAUGGCAAUGAAGCGUACACCGUGGACAACUAAGCGUACACCAUGUUAAUAAAAUUUUAUAUGUCCAAUUUAUGAUUUUGUGUCAGUUCUGAUGGUUUGAGAAAAAUUAAGUGAUCCAACAUAAACAAAAGCUAAUUACUUCAAUUCAGUUAUGCAAGCUGAAGAAGGUACAAACUAUUAACUCUGAUCUUCUAAUGCUUCCUCUCUUUUUAAUGUGGUUUAGCUCAACAAACAAUAUUUUCUUUCUGGCAUACUGCACUAGCUCUAAUUUGAGUACUUCAAUUCAGCAUAAAGUAGCUUAUUUGCCCUCCUAUGGUUAAUCUACAAUGAUAUGUACUGUCCUCAAGUACACUGUCGUGUUUUGGCAAGCGAUUUGAAGCUAGCGUGCUGUAUUUUUGCAGGCGGUUGCUUUAAUCCAAUUUUGCAAGCAAUCUGAAACCAACAAGCCUUGUUUCUUGCCAAAGUGGUGGCUUUACAUGCCAACAGUACUUGUGGUGUGUAGUUUAAAUUGUUUAAGGAAGUUUUGAUUUUCCCCACCAAAAAGGAAGACUUGAUUUGAUGCCUCUAACUGAUUAUAUCCUUAAUCAAACAAUGGAUAUUGAAUAACUGCGUCAUAUUUGGAGGUAACUGUGGCGUGUCAUAUGUUUUGGGAUACAGGUAAUACUAUACUUUACUUACCAAAUUACAUUACUAACAGAAAGUUUACUUAUAAUGAUAGGAAAUCCUAUCUGUAUUGAUGGAGCUAGAACUACAUAGUAUAAUCAACAUGUGUCUAGCUCAGAGCCUUUGUCCUCUAAUUCCAUGUUAUGUAUGCUUUCUCCUAAAGUUUCCAUGAAUUUUGCUUUACACCAAAAACUUAAUCGAACUCCUUCAGGGACAAAAGUAAACAUAUACUACAUAUCUUGAUAUAUAUAUGCCUCUUCCUCUGAGUAGUAUGCCCCAAUUUUUAGUUCUUCAUAUACAUUUUCUCUUGCAUAGUAUAUUAAAUUUUCUCAAAAAAGGUACAUGCUUCUAUUAUGCAUAGAUAGUGUAUGAAACAUCUUUUUAAUUAAGAUGUCCUUCAGUAAAAAUAUUGUGGAUUAGGAAUAUUUGGAUAACAUACAAGAUAUGUACCCUUGCCUUUUCCCGAAAAGACUAGACGCCCAUUGUGAGUUGGAAACAUCUGUAUAUUCUUUUUCAAGUAGAGUUAGGAAUCUAUUUUUAAUUAAGAAACAUAUUUUGUCUGAAGGGUGGAAAUGCACCUUUCAUAAACUUAGGGCAGCACAAGCGCACAACCAGUUACCGUCAUCUCCAAAUGUGCCGAUAUAAUUGGCAAUGCAUGUUUCUACAUAUUUUAAGUAUACACUAGGACAAUGCCUGUGCGUUGCUACAGGAAAAAUAAUAUUAUUUUCAUAUCCGUAGCUCAAAGCACUCAUAUGUGCAUGGAUCAUAUAGUCAAGUGAAUCAUCAAGAUUUGUCGUAAAUAAAAAGUUCAUUCAGCUUAAUCCACUUUUUGUUAAAGCAUCGUGCAUGCAGCCAUGCUUCGCUAGGAGCCGACAUUCCUUCCAAUAUCAUUGACAUUCCCCAAAAAAGAUGACACUAUAGGCCAAGUGAUUUUAAAAAAAAAUUAUUCGCGAAAACAAGCCAAGUAAUUUAACUGAUGUUCCAUUGGAAGAGUAAACAUGCAUGACAACAACCUUAUGGACUACAUCAUUGAAACAUCCUCAACACGUAUAUUAUUUUCAUUUGAAAUUCAUUUACAUGUAUUUCUAUGCACUGAGCUCGUUAAUAUGGAUGUUAAUUAUGUUGAGAUUGCUCCUAUGAGCACAUUCAUAGACCUCAACACGGAUGUCCUCAUUAAAUGUUGUGUGUGUAAUAUAUUUUAAAUUCUUUUUGGUUUGGUUAUACAGCUUCCAAAACAUGGCUACAACGAACUUGCUCCUAUGAGCACAUUCUUGUUUUGUUUCUCAAGGACGGGUAAAUAUAUAAUCUUUUUAGCUCAGUAUGAGAUUGAAUUGGUCACAACAAUAGAGUGAUUUCAUUUAUAUGUAUCAAAUACAUCAAGACAGAGUAACUGGCAGUCUGGCACUAAUUAGAAUGAUACAGUGUAUUGUUUUGUUUCUCCGAGGAUGUUACAGUAAGUCUGUGUCUAGAGAUUUUGAUUCUGCAAAAUUCACACACUAUAGCAUAUAUACCAUUGCGUAAGAUAACCCUCUAUUUAGUGCCAUGAUGCCAUUAGUAUACAAAUUGCGCCUCCAGCCCUGCCAUCUAUCAUGAACCUGUAUGCUUGUGUCCGGAUUCUUCGUAAUAUGCUACUGUGAUUUCCUUUGUUGUUGUCGACUCGUUUAGGGGAGCCACCUGUCAGCACCAUGUCUGGAAACAGCUGUGCGGUCUAGAAUAAAAAUAUGUAUUAGACAUGGGUAGGAUAUUGAGGGUCAGGUUAAUUCCAAGAAGAGGGUCUUCUGAAUGUUGUUUCCUUGUCGCCGAAGACAGUUGACUCUGAGGAAUGUAGGUAGGCUGGCUAUGUCGCCGAGCUUGAGGGAGAGCCCACUACCUUUUCUGAUUAAUGUUGUUUAUGUUUAGAGCUGGUCCUAACAACCAUAUACAGCUAAAAGAAAAACAUCCUAAUCUAAUGUUAUCUCACCUAGAAGAAAAGCAUCCUAAUUUAAUGUUAUCUCUGAUUUCUUUUGCAAAUGUUAUUGUUCGUAAUUUCCGAGCUUGUGUAACGUCUUUGUUUUAUUGGUGUCCAUUGGGAGUAUUCUUAUGCAGGAUUGCUUCUUCAGACUGCAAAUGAAGCUUGUGCACUCUGGGAGGCGACGAAUAAACUUCAGAAGAAGUUGGAUGAUCUUACUUUACGGAAUCGAAGAGGGACGAUGUGGUUCGGUGGUCAACGCCUGCUAUGCGGGAUGCAGUAUGGUAUGGCUCGGGCAUCUCGAGAAGGGGCUCUGUCCGCAAGGCCUCCUCCACGCCAGUGUGUUCUCUGAUGAAAACCUUCUCUUCGCUCACGCACGCACCGACGCAACUGACCAGCCGCGGAGGUGUUCGAGGAUUCUGUCCCGGGGCUGCGCAUGGAGCUCGUCAACGUCUGUGUCUUGCCAUUGCUCAACACCGCCCUGCCGGCUGGGGUUCUUAUUUGCCAUCGAGGCCUUCCGCAAUAGGGUCCAUGGUGCCUGAUUGCUUCCUCUCGGACUGGAUCAGGGGUCCAACCACCCAGUAAGCUAUACCUCAUCUUCCCUCUUCUCUUAAAAUAUCUAUAUGGUUCUUGGUCUGAUUCUCAAUAAAGAGCUCAAACUCGAGAUGAGUUUUUGGUUAUCCUGUCCUAUUUUGUUGGUACAGUUUAUUGUACUACUGUCUUGAGUGGCUAAUAUUUACUGAGAUGGGGUAAUAGGUAUAGUGUUUUUCUAUUUCAAUACUUCAUGUGAUUUCUUCCUGGUCUAUGUCAAUUUAUGUUUGUUCUGAAUAAUUUACCAACACAGUCCAGGUUCAUGUGCAUAGCACAUGUUAAAAAAAUCUCAAAUAUCUGCAUGGUAUAUAUAUAUCCAAUCAUUAUCUUUUCCAGAAUGAAGAAAAGGUAUGAGAAAGAUAAUACUAAUAUUCAUGUAGUUGCAAUUGCAACCAGAGAAUCCAUGGUGUGUUGGUUUGUUUCUGAUUAUAUGCAUGAUCUUUCCUUUGAAAUUUAAAUAUUUAUUAGAUUGUAGAAUUGCCAGUUAUAGAAAAUAUGACAAGGUAUUUUCAGUUGUGAUAUCACAGUGUCCUUUUUGUGAUUUUCAUUUGUAGCACUGAGUUGUGCAGAUUUAUGAUGGUCAAAAUAUUGCUGGCUAAAUCUAUUUCCCCUGAAUUAGUAGAGUUAUUUGUUCCAUUGUGCACACCUGAAUAUUCAGAGUAAUAUGCAGGCAACAACAUCUACAUGUACUCGGUCAAUCACUACUCUGCACUAGAAAAUUUCUAUGAGCACACUUAAGUAGUAACCUUAUGUUGGUAUGCAUAUGAGAAAUAAGAUCUAUAUUAUUUAUCUUGAACCUGCAAAUCAUUUUAGACCACUGAGUGCAUUCUGAAAAAUUGCUUGUUUGGCUAAGGUUAAGAGAUCUAGCAAAUGAGUCCAGGUCUCAAAGAACAAGGUGCAUGUUGAGUAUUUCUCCUCCCUCCCCAUCUGGGCGAAGAAGACAUGCUGGACUUGGGCGACUUCCACAUCUCCCUCCUUGACGGCGUCUAGAAGAUACUCGGCAAAUUCUAAACAGAUUCAUGACAGUACUGGUACCAAGUGAAAACGAAUUCUUGCUAUGAUAUGGAUCCCUGUUCUGAUUUUAGUGAAAAGUUUUCUUGCUCUUAUAUGGAUCAUCCCAUGUUCUGAUUUUGAGUGGAGAGUUUAGUUUCUUAAGUCUUGUCAUUAACAUGAAACUGAGAUAUUCUGUUCGCAUGACCUCUAGGGCCGUACAGGGAAACCAUGACGCCCCUGUUGGGGAGCUCUUAGUUGCAGCGCAAACUGCAAGGCUUUGUCAACUCACUCCUGUUUACUAAGCGCUAUGGCUUCUUUCUGCAGAAGAUGGAUAGUUUUGUGCUUGUUCUCUUCACCAGCUUCUUCAUGAACUACUAAUAUGACUACAUUUCGACCAUGUCAUUCAGUUCUAGCAAAAACAUUAACUUUACAUAUUGUAUAUAUAUAACCAGGUUCAUGGGUACAAAAGCGGACAGAGGAGAUGAGGAGCAUGCACCAUGGCAGAAUCAUCGAGGGACAGCUGGAUAAAGUAACAAUUGUGGAGCACAAUAGUGGUGGACAUAGACCCUGUGAAGAGAGGUGGGAGGAAAAUAUUGUCUGUGUCAAUAUAUGGUAAAAUAAUAUGAUGCAAUGAAGAAACAGUGUUGAUGUUUUGAAAUAUUUGUUUCACGUCGUGACAACAGUGGCGUUAAUUUAUUCAUUUGCAAGGAUGUAUCUGACUAUUUUGUUGUUGUCUUAAAAUAUUUGUGCGGCACUUCAUGGCAACAGUGCCAAUAACUUAUUCAUUUGUAAGGAAGUGUCUGAAUA